CCGACCGGCGCACGGGUGAGUAACGCGUAUGCAACCUGCCCGUUUCAGCGGGAUAACCCGGAGAAAUCCGGCCUAAUACCGCAUGUGGCCGAGGGGAGGCAUCUUCUUUCGGCCAAAGGAGGCGACUCCGGAGACGGAUGGGCAUGCGUGACAUUAGCUAGUUGGCGGGGUAACGGCCCACCAAGGCGACGAUGUCUAGGGGUUCUGAGAGGAAGGUCCCCCACACUGGUACUGAGACACGGACCAGACUCCUACGGGAGGCAGCAG
rnacentral:rRNA from 1 species